GACGAACGCUGGCGGCGUGCCUAAUACAUGCAAGUAGGACGCAGUUGCGAACGGGUGAGUAACGCGUAGGUAACUACCUAUUAGAGGGGGAUAACUAUUGGAAACGAUAGCUAAUACCGCCUACUAGUAGAUGGACCUGCGUUGUAUUAGCUAGUAGGUCGGGUAAUGGCCUACCUAGGCAACGAUACAUAGCCGAGCCGAGAGGGUGAUCUGCCAAACUGGGACUGAGGCACGGCCCAGAACCCUACCGGAGGCAGCAGGAGGGAAACUUCGGCAAUGGGGGGAACCCUGACCGAGCAACGCCGCGGGGGUGAAGAAGGUUUUCGGAUCGUAAAGCUCUGUUGUUAAGGAAGCGGUACUUAACCAGAAAGGGACGGCUAACUACGUGCCAGCAGCCGCGGUAAUUC
rnacentral:rRNA from 1 species